rnacentral:snRNA from 1 species
GUGCUCACUUCAGCAGUACAUAUACUAAGAUUGGAAUAAUAAAGAGAAGAAUAGCAUGGCCCCUGCACAAGAUGACAUGCAAAUUGUGUUCUGUGUCUUUAGUGUAU